rnacentral:rRNA from 1 species
AGCAGUCGCCGCGGGAAUACGGAGGAUCCAAGCGUUAUCCGGAUUGAUUGGGUUUAAAGGGUGCGUAGGUGGCCUGUUAAGUCAGGGGUGAAAGACGGUAGCUCAACUAUCGCAGUGCCCUUGAUACUGAUGGGCUUGAAUGAACUAGAGGUAGGCGGAAUGUGACAAGUAGCGGUGAAAUGCAUAGAUAUGUCACAGAACACCAAUUGCGAAGGCAGCUUACUAUGGUUUGAUUGACACUGAGGCACGAAAGCGUGGGGAUCAAACAGGAUUAGAUACCCCGGUAGUCCCUGUCUCUUAUAU